rnacentral:ncRNA from 1 species
ACUGAAGUGCGGGUUGUAAUUGAUAAAGGCGAACCCGCGGGCCUGAUCGAUGGCAUGAAACAACGGGUUCCAAUCAAACAUCACAAGCAUCGACGACGGCAACGUGUUGGCCACAAACAUCUUACCUGACGCGAUCAUAUUGGCCCUC